GACGAACGCUGGCGGCGUGCUUAACACAUGCAAGUCGAACGAUGAAGCUGGAGCUUGCUCUAGCGGAUUAGUGGCGAACGGGUGAGUAACACGUGAGCAAUCUGCCCUUGACUCUGGGAUAACUGCGGGAAACUGUAGCUAAUACCGGAUACUUUCACCGGGGGGCAUCCUCUGGUGAUGAAAGAAUUUCGGUCAAGGAUGAGCUCGCGGCCUAUCAGCUUGUUGGUGAGGUAACGGCUCACCAAGGCGACGACGGGUAACCGGCCUGAGAGGGUGGACGGUCACACUGGGACUGAGACACGGCCCAGACUCCUACGGGAGGCAGCAGUGGGGAAUAUUGCACAAUGGGCGCAAGCCUGAUGCAGCAACGCCGCGUGAGGGAUGAAGGCCUUCGGGUUGUAAACCUCUUUUAGCAGGGAAGAAGCGAAAGUGACGGUACCUGCAGAAAAAGCACCGGCUAACUACGUGCCAGCCGCCGCGGUAA
rnacentral:rRNA from 1 species